rnacentral:rRNA from 1 species
UACGUAGGGUGCAAGCGUUAUCCGGAAUUAUUGGGCGUAAAGAGCUCGUAAGCGGUUUGUCGCGUCUGCUGUGAAAACUGGGGGCUCAACCCCCAGCCUGCAGUGGGUACGGGCAGACUAGAGUGCGGUAGGGGAGAUUGGAAUUCCUGGUGUAGCGGUGGAAUGCGCAGAUAUCAGGAGGAACACCGAUGGCGAAGGCAGAUCUCUGGGCCGUAACUGACGCUGAGGAGCGAAAGCAUGGGGAGCGAACAGG